rnacentral:rRNA from 1 species
CCCUUAGAUGUUCUGGGCCGCACGCGCGCUACACUGAUGCAUUCAACGAGCCUAUCCUUGACCGACAGGUCCGGGUAAUCUUUGAAUCUGCAUCGUGACGGGGAUAGAUUAUUGCAAUUAUUAAUCUUCAACGAGGAAUGCCUAGUAGGCGCAAGUCAUCAGCUUGCGUCGAUUACGUCCCUGCCCUUUGUACACACCUCCCGUCGCUCCUACCGAUUGGGUGUGCUGGUGAAAUGUUCGGAUCGGCCGUUUGUCGCGGUUUCCGCGGCUCGUGGCUGAGAAGUUCAUUAAACCCUCCCACCUAGAGGAAGGAGAAGUCGUAACA